AUUACUUAACUCAUUGAAGCAUUAAAUAUGCUGACAAAUUUUAUAAAACUUAUCUUAAAUAAUCUACUCUCAUAAAUAUAUUUUCAGCUAAUAAAAAUUUUGAAAACUCUUUACAAAUUAUAUGCUUGAAGAGAAUGAAUUCACAUUUUAUUAAAUAUAUGACUUUGUACUUCAUUCUAUCAAAUGCAUUGGGUUCUUCGAUUAUCAAAUCAGAAAAUAAUAACAGUAAGUGCAUUAAUUAUUAAGAUCAAGUAAAUAAAAUUAUGUAUAUUUUAUGUUAGGUAAUUAUUCCUAACGUCAAAUUAUAAGAGUAACUCUUACAAAAUAAAAUAAGUAAAUGUAUUAAACUCAGAUUUUUCCAACCAUAAAUUCUUUUAUUAUUUGUUUAAUACUUUUGGAAAAUUUCAUGAAAAUUACGGAAAUUUUGGAGAAAUUUCUG